GCCGUGGGCGCUGGAGAACUGAGGGGGGCUGCUCCUAGUACGAGAGGACCGGAGUGGACGCAUCACUGGUGUUCGGGUUGUCAUGCCAAUGGCACUGCCCGGUAGCUAAAUGCGGAAGAGAUAAGUGCUGAAAGCAUCUAAGCACGAAACUUGCCCCGAGAUGAGUUCUCCCUGAGACUUAGAGUCUCCUGAAGGAACGUUGAAGACGACGACGUUGAUAGGCCGGGUGUGUAAGCGCAGCGAUGCGUUGAGCUAACCGGUACUAAUGAACCGUGAGGCUUAACCUUAC
rnacentral:rRNA from 1 species